rnacentral:rRNA from 1 species
AGUGAACGCUGGCGGUAGGCCUAACACAUGCAAGUCGAACGGCAGCACAGUAAUAGCUUGCUCUUACGGGUGGCGAGUGGCGGACGGGUGAGGUAUACAUCGGAAUCUACUUUUUCGUGGGGGAUAACGUAGGGAAACUUACGCUAAUACCGCAUACGACCUACGGGUGAAAGCAGGGGAUCUUCGGACCUUUCGCGAUUGAAUGAGCCGAUGUCGGAUUAGCUAGUUGGCGGGGUAAAGGCCCACCAAGGCGACGAUCCGUAGCUGGUCUGAGAGGAUGAUCAGACACACUGGAACAGAGACACGGUCCAGACUCCUACGGGAGGCAGCAGUGGGGAAUAUUGGACAAUGGGCGCAAGCCUGAUCCAGCCAUACCGCGUGAGGGAAGAAGGACUUCGAGUUGUAAAGCCCUUUUGUUGGGAAAGAAAAACAGCAGGUUAAUACCCCGCUGUUCUGACGGUACCCAAAGAAUAAGCACCGGCUAACUUCGUG